rnacentral:rRNA from 1 species
UGGGGAAUAUUGGGCAAUGGGCGCAAGCCUGACCCAGCAACGCCGCGUGAAGGAAGAAGGCUUUCGGGUUGUAAACUUCUUUUGUCGGGGACGAAACAAAUGACGGUACCCGACGAAUAAGCCACGGCUAACUACGUG